CCUACUUAAUCCGUAAUUUGAUAUAUUUCAAACUUUGUAUCCAGCAAUGUAAUUGCCAGGCUAUUACUUCAAUAUCAUAUGAUUUGAAAGAUUCAUAAAGGAAUAAUUACAAUAAACACUACAUAUAGUAGUUAAUACUGAAUAUUAAUUCAAAAAAUCCUUAUUCUCUAUCAUAAAAAGAAUUAAAUAUAGGCUCUUUGGCAUCGGUCCAAAAAUGAUUUACUGCACCGUUGGACCCUCUUCUUUAAUGCAAAACCAUGUAUAGUCCUUAUCUCGCUAAUGCUUCACAUGCACUGUUUGUUUGCUUGUUUUUCAUAUCCCUCUGCCAUUAAAUCGUCACCUUGUUCAACAUCCAUAAACACAGUUGUACGAACUCUGGAAUAGUACUCGAUUCAUUAGGAUAUAUAACAUUUGUAAUAUUCUUUUAUCGAUUAUUCACGCAUUCUCACUGAUUUUGCUUUAUGCUUUGCACCAAUUUACCAGUUGUUGAAACCAUGCAAAAUUACGUGCAUAAAACGUUUAAUUUUCAUAGCAACGUAGAUACACACACCCUUUUACUGUUACAUAUUACUACAAACAAAUUACCAAAUCUCACAUCGUCUCGGCUGAUGCAUUAUUCAGCAAGCUCUAAGCGGUUUUCCGCAAAGGCAAUCAUUAUAAGCAAACGAUGACGCUUCAAGAUGAUCGAACGGAGCACCUGCCGGAAUUUUCCCGCAUAGGUGGUUGUGACUCAGAUCCAAGUGCCCUAUAUACGAUGCUGCUGAUAAAGAUUUUGGUAUUGGCCCCCGAAAACCAUUAUACGAUAAAUCAAGAACCGUAAAGUAGGAUCUCACGCUGAAAACAUCCGGUAAAUAUCCUUCAAAUGCGUUCUUGCUUAGAUUCAAAUUGCUAAUACCCGAAUUGAACAAGCUUGCUGGUAUAACCCCUGAAAGCUUGUUAACGUCCAGAUUUAGUGUCGCUAAUACGGCCAUUCUACCCAGAGAAGGAGGUAUAGUGCCCGAUAGUCUGUUCAACGAAAGAUCCAAAUCGGCAAGACGGUAAAUAUUUGAAAUAGAAGUCGGUAUUGACCCGCUAAUAUAAUUGUGGCUAAGCAAAGCACGGCUCAACAUUCUGAGACGCCCGAAGUUUACAGGAAGUGGGCCCGAGAUUCGGUUGCUACGCAAAUCCAGGUGCAUCAUACUGGAAAGAUUCGUCAAAGAACGCGGGAUCUCACCGGAUAUAAGAUUAUCGGCGACGUUCAGCACAGUUAAUCUUUGUAAUCGCCCUAUAUCAGCAGGAAGAUCACCAGAGAGCCGAUUCCCAAUCAAAUCAAGAAUCCUUAGAAAUGGAAGCGAAGUAAUGCACCGCGGGAUCUCCCCGGAUAUCCCUUUCCAAUCUGCAAUUAUAAGACUCGAGAGGCGCUCUAGCUUGCAGAUGGAAGUAGAGAUUGUACCAGUCAUAUAACCGGACCUGCCAGCUUUUCGAAAGAUGGGAUCUUCGGACUCACCUCGGAGGUUUAAAUCUGCGACACGAUGCGUCUCUGGGUCGCAACUGACGCCAUACCACUUAUAACAGCAGUCGGUGCCGGUCCAAGAAUUGAAGAUGCCCAAAUAAGGCUCGCGGAGUGCUGCUUUGACGGCCAGCAGAGCAGCGCGGUCCGACGGUGGGCAGCUAUUAACAGUGUAAACAGUGGCUAAAGACGCCAUUAACGCAAUAUAUAAGAAUGCGGCCAUGGUUUUUGUGUAGUUUCUCUCUCUUUCUACGUAAGGUUUCUGUCUCUACAGUGAGUGACGAAAUAGAGUUGAUUGAGAGUUUAAGCUCAGGUGAGAUGUGAAACAUGUGCAGGACCUGACAACGUUGUCGUGAUAUAUAUAUGCAUUGAGAAUUUUCUUUCGUGACGGAUUUGCCCCUAAGUUCCGAAGCUCUGCCGCUUCCCCAAAAUGAUGGUCCUGGAUAAUUACAGGUUUGUUUAUCUAUCUCAUAGAAUUGAUGGUUGAACAACUUACAAAGAUAAGAUGCAAGGACGUAUGAGUGAAAUUGUGAGUCUCCACUGCAAUUAACUUUUCGGUUACCAUAUAUAUAUAGCUUGUCAUUGCAAUUGCAGGAUAGGAAUGAGGGGCUUGGGGAGUUGAAUCUAAUAAUUCAGUGUGAACACAUCAACAAU
rnacentral:misc_RNA from 1 species